CGCGUGAGAAUCUGCCUUCGGGUCUGGGAUAACAGUUGGAAACGACUGCUAAUACCGGAUGUGCCUACGGGUGAAAGAUUAAUNCGCCAGAAGAUGAGCUCGCGUCUGAUUAGCUAGUUGGUGGGGUAAAAGCCUACCAAGGCGACGAUCAGUAGCUGGUCUGAGAGGAUGAGCAGCCACACUGGGACUGAGACACGGCCCAGACUCCUACGGGAGGCAGCAGUGGGGAAUUUUCCGCAAUGGGCGAAAGCCUGACGGAGCAAGACCGCGUGAGGGAGGANAGGCCUUUGGGUUGUAAACCUCUUUUGUCAGGGAAGAAAAAAAUGACGGUACCUGACGAAUCAGCCUCGGCUAACUCCGUGCCAGCAGCCGCGGUAAUACGGAGGAGGCAAGCGUUAUCCGGAAUCAUUGGGCGUAAAGCGUCCGUAGGUGGCCAAGUAAGUCUGCUGUCAAAGACCACAGCUUAACUGUGGAAAGGCAGUGGAAACUGCGGGGCUAGAGUGCGGUAGGGGUAGAGGGAAUUCCAGGUGUAGCGGUGAAAUGCGUAGAGCUCUGGAAGAACACCGGUGGAGA
rnacentral:rRNA from 1 species